rnacentral:rRNA from 1 species
CCUACGGGGGGCAGCAGUCGAGAAUAAUGCACAAUGGGGGAAACCCUGAUGGGGCGACGCCGCGUGGGGGAAUGAAGGUCUCCGGAUGGUAAACCCCUGUCAUGUGGGAGCAAAUUAAAAAGAUAGUACCACAAGAGGAAGAGACGGCUAACUCUGUGCCAGCAGCCGCGGUAAUACAGAGGUCUCAAGCGUUGUUCGGAAUCACUGGGCGUAAAGCGUGCGUGGGUGGGUUCGUAAGUCGUGUGUGAAAGGCGCGGGCUCAACCCGCGGACGGCACAUGAUACUGCGAGACUAGAGUAAUGGAGGGGGAACCGGAAUUCUCGGUGUAGCAGUGAAAUGCGUAGAUAUCGAGAGGAACACUCGUGGCGAAGGCGGGUUCCUGGACAUUAACUGACGCUGAGGCACGAAGGCCAGGGGAGCGAAAGGGAUUAGAUACCCUAGUAGUC